rnacentral:rRNA from 1 species
GCCUAGCCCUAAAUCUUGAUGCCUACCCUACCUAAGCAUCCGCCCGAGAACUACGAGCACAAACGCUUAAAACUCUAAGGACUUGGCGGUGUCCCAAACCCACCUAGAGGAGCCUGUUCUAUAAUCGAUAACCCACGAUACACCCAACCACCCCUUGCYAAAACAGCCUACAUACCGCCGUCGUCAGCUCACCUCCCCUGAGRGCAUAACAGUGAGCACAAUAGCCCCACCCCGCUAACAAGACAGGUCAAGGUAUAGCUCAUGGGAUGGAAGAAAUGGGCUACAUUUUCUACUAAUAGAAAACUUAACGGAAAGAGGCCUGCAAGUGGCCUCUGGAAGGCGGAUUUAGCAGUAAAGAGGGAUAAUAAAGCCCUCUUUAAAUAGGCCCUGGGGCACGU